ACUCCUACGGGAGGCAGCAGUGGGGAAUAUUGCACAAUGGGCGCAAGCCUGAUGCAGCCAUGCCGCGUGUAUGAAGAAGGCCUUCGGGUUGUAAAGUACUUUCAGCAGUGAGGAAGGUGGGUAUGUUAAUAGCAUAUUCAUUUGACGUUAGCUGCAGAAGAAGCACCGGCUAACUCCGUGCCAGCAGCCGCGGUAAUACGGAGGGUGCGAGCGUUAAUCGGAAUUACUGGGCGUAAAGCGCAUGCAGGUGGUUUGUUAAGUCAGAUGUGAAAGCCCGGGGCUCAACCUCGGAAUUGCAUUUGAAACUGGCAAACUAGAGUACUGUAGAGGGGGUAGAAUUUCAGGUGUAGCGGUGAAAUGCGUAGAGAUCUGAAGGAAUACCGGUGGCGAAGGCGGCCCCUGGACAGAUACUGACACUCAGAUGCGAAAGCGU
rnacentral:rRNA from 1 species